CAUUUAUUAAUAAAAGAUGUUUAUUAAAAAUGUCUGGACAUACCAACUCCAUGGUGAUUUCAGUGCAUUACUGAGAUAAGCU